CGGCAUGCCUAACACAUGCAAGUCGAACGGUAACAGGCCGCAAGGUGCUGACGAGUGGCGAACGGGUGAGUAAUGCAUCGGAACGUGCCCAGUCGUGCGGAACAACGUCUGGAAACGGACGCUAAUACCGCAUAAUAUCUACGGAUCAAAGAUUUAUCGCCUAGAGAUUGGCCCCGCGUCUGAUUAGCUAGUUGGUGAGGUAAUGGCUCACCAAGGCUACGAUCAGUAGCUGGUCUGAGAGGAUGAUCAGCCACACUGGGACUGAGACACGGCCCAGACUCCUACGGGAGGCAGCAGUUAGGAAUAUUGGACAAUGGGCGAAAGCCUGAUCCGGCCAUGCCGCGUGUGUGAAGAAGGCCUUAGGGUUGUAAAGCACUUUCGUCUGUGAAGAUAAUGACAGUAGCAGAAGAAGAAGCUCCGGCUAAAUUCGUG
rnacentral:rRNA from 1 species